rnacentral:lncRNA from 1 species
AGAGUCAUGACACUUUCUUAUAACUUUGGUCUUUCCCUCAUGUUAUAUUUUGUUUCCUUUUCACAAGUAUAGUGUUUAUAGCUCCUGAUAGAAACAUGGUAAUAGUGCUUGCCGUAGGAGCAGGAGGCACUGGGAUCACUCAAGGUGCACCGAUUUAAGCAAAAUCUAAAAAACUUGGGAACCUGCCGGCAUCUCGGACAAUUGCAGCUAGGUUAUUCGCGAGAUCGUGGAGACGUACACAUCUGUUGAGCCUGGAUGCUAAACCGAGUCUGACGCUAGUUCAUCAAAGUUUUAUCGCCUCUGAUCGUGCGCGAGUUUUCUAUGUGGCAACAAGAAUCAGAAGUAGUAGUGUAGU